CUUUAACAAUCUGGAACAAGCUGAAAAUUGAAACGAUACAGCUGAAACUUGUCUCUCCGUAGCAGUACUGAGAUAAGGAGUACCCUGUAUCAGAGUCUCUCAAAUAAUUGCAAUGCGAUGUGUUUAUCCUUUGU
rnacentral:sRNA from 1 species